UACGGAGGAUGCAAGCGUUAUCCGGAAUGAUUGGGCGUAAAGCGUCCGCAGGUGGCUGUGUAAGUCUGCUGUUAAAGAGUGAGGCUCAACCUCAUAAAGGCAGUGGAAACUACACGGCUAGAGUGCGUUCGGGGCAGAGGGAAUUCCUGGUGUAGCGGUGAAAUGCGUAGAGAUCAGGAAGAACACCGGUGGCGAAGGCGCUCUGCUAGGCCGCAACUGACACUGAGGGACGAAAGCUAGGGGAGCGAAUGGG
rnacentral:rRNA from 1 species